rnacentral:rRNA from 1 species
AUUGAACGCUGGCGGCAGGCCUAACACAUGCAAGUCGAGCGGAUGAAGGGAGCUUGCUCCUGGAUUCAGCGGCGGACGGGUGAGUAAUGCCUAGGAAUCUGCCUGGUAGUGGGGGAUAACGUCCGGAAACGGGCGCAAUACCGCAUACGUCCUGAGGGAGAAAGUGGGGGAUCUUCGGACCUCACGCUAUCAGAUGAGCCUAGGUCGGAUUAGCUAGUUGGUGGGGUAAAGGCCUACCAAGGCGACGAUCCGUAACUGGUCUGAGAGGAUGAUCAGUCACACUGGAACUGAGACACGGUCCAGACUCCUACGGGAGGCAGCAGUGGGGAAUAUUGGACAAUGGGCGAAAGCCUGAUCCAGCCAUGCCGCGUGUGUGAAGAAGGUCUUCGGAUUGUAAAGCACUUUAAGUUGGGAGGAAGGGCAGUAAGUUAAUACCUUGCUGUUUUGACGUUACCAACAGAAUAAGCACCGGCUAACUUCGUG